AACCAUAGAAACCUGCGGAGUACCUGCGGAAGGAUCAUUAACAAAAUUGGGUUGGUUGGUGGUGUGGGUGGGGGGGGGUUAGUGGUGUGGUGUGGUGUGGUGUGGGGUGGGGUGGGGUGGGUUGAUUGAUGAGGGAUGACUCUCUUAUUCACACACUCACACACAUACAUACACACACACACACACACUCACUCACUCACUCACUCGCACACUCACUCACAUUCAUUCAAUCAACCGAUA
rnacentral:misc_RNA from 1 species